rnacentral:rRNA from 1 species
CGAGUGGUAACAGAUCUUCGGAUGCUGACGACCGGCGAACGGGUGAGUAACACGUAUGCCACUUACCCAUAACUCGGGAAUAGCCCAAAGAAAUUUGGAUUAAUACCCAAUAAUACAGGCGUACCGCAUGGUAUUCUUCGUUAAAGAAUAAUCGGUUAUGGAUAGGCAUGCGUUCUAUUAGGUAGUUGGUGAGGUAACGGCUCACCAAGCCGACGAUGGAUAGGGGAACUGAGAGGUUGUCCCCCCACACUGGUACUGAGACACGGACCAAACUUAAACGGGAGGCAGCAGUGAGGAAUAUUGGUCAAUGGACGAAAGUCUGAACCAGCCAAAUCGCGUGAAGGAAGAAGGUAUUAUGUAUCGUAAACUUCUUUUGUAAGAGAGUAAAGUGCACUACGUGUAGUGUAUUGCAAGUACCUUACGAAUAAGCAUCGGCUAAUUCCGUGCCAGCAGCCGCGGUAAUACGGAAGAUGCAAGUGUUAUCCGGAUUUAUUGGGUUUAAAGGGUGCGUAGGUGGUCUAAUAAGUCAGUGGUGAAAUCUCUUUGCUUAACAAGGAAAUUGCCAUUGAAACUGUUAGACUUGAGAAUGGACGAGGUAGGCGGAAUUCGUAGUGUAGCGGUGAAAUGCAUAGAUAUUACGAAGAACUCCAAUAGUGUAGGCUGCUUACCAGACCAUAUCUGACACUAAGGCACGAAAGUGUGGGUAUCAAACAGGAUUAGAUACCCUGGUAGUCCACACAGUAAACGAUGAAUACUAACUGUUUGCGAUAUACAGCAAGUGGUCGAGCGAAAGCGUUAAGUAUUCCACCUGGGAAGUAUGCCGGCAACGGUGAAACUCAAAGGAAUGACGGGGGCCCGCACAGCGAGGACAUGUGGUUUAUUCGAUAUACGCGAGGACUUACCCGGCUCGACG